rnacentral:rRNA from 1 species
CCUACGGGAGGCAGCAGUGGGGAAUAUUGGUCAAUGGACGCAAGUCUGAACCAGCCAUGCCGCGUGCAGGAAGACGGCUCUAUGAGUUGUAAACUGCUUUUGUACGAGGGUAAACGCAGAUACGCGUAUCUGUCUGAAAGUAUCGUACGAAUAUGGAUCGGCUAACUCCGUGCCAGCAGCCGCGGUAAUACGGAGGAUUCAAGCGUUAUCCGGAUUUAUUGGGUUUAAAGGGUGCGUAGGCGGUCGGAUAAGUUAGAGGUGAAAUCCCGAGGCUCAACUUCGGAAUUGCCUCUGAUACUGUUCGGCGAGAGAGUAGUUGCGGUAGGCGGAAUGUAUGGUGUAGCGGUGAAAUGCUUAGAGAUCAUACAGAACACCGAUUGCGAAGGCAGCUUACCAAGCUACUUCUGACGUUGAGGCACGAAAGCGUGGGGAGCAAACAGGAUUAGAUACCCUUGUAGUC